rnacentral:rRNA from 1 species
CCGCCGCCGGCGACCGGCGCACGGGUGAGUAACACGUAUGCAACCUGGCCGUGACAGAUGGAUAACCGGGAGAAAUCCCGCCUAAUACAACAUAAUGCCGGGAGGGGACAUCCCCUGCCGGCCAAAGGGGGCGACCCCGGUCACGGAUGGGCAUGCGGCGCAUUAGGUAGUUGGUGGGGCAACGGCCCACCAAGCCGACGAUGCGUAGGGGUUCUGAGAGGAAGGUCCCCCACAUUGGAACUGAGACACGGUCCAAACUCCUACGGGAGGCAGCAG